AAAGACUUAUUAAAAUCGGCCAACGUUAAAUAAAUGCAGACCAUAUUAAAAAAUAAAGUUGAGGUCCAACUGAAGCCCAAAGCCCAACCCCUUUACUUCUACACUAACUCACGCACAAACACACGGACAUAUACACACACGCACGCCGCACAGGGCGGCGCCCCCUUCUUCCCCGGCGUAGAGCGCCGCCGUUACCCUCUGCCGCCACUCUGUCUCACGCCCCACACACACGUACUAACCGGCGCUGACACCCCCUCCCUGUCUCCCUCUUUUCGCGACGGCGGAUAGCACCGCCACCGCCUCUCUCUGUCCUCCGGCUACCGCAGAAGCUACGGCCGCUGCCCUCUCGUUCGAUCUCCGUCGACAACAGCCGUCAAACCGCCGCCCCGUGCCCUAGCUCCGAUUUCCUCCUUCUCUCCACAAAACCUCAGAUCCCUAAAAUUCAGACUUCGUCCUCCGGCGAGUAACAACGGAUAGCAGCCCCAACUUGUAGCUAAAGCUGGGAACCCAUUCUUCAAUUAUUCAUGUAUGUAGAGAUUGUAAUGGGGGCGUCCUUGGUGAUUUGAUUUCUAGAUUAGAAAUUUAUGUUUCUGUUCUUAAAUGAAUAUGAAUGCGUGUGUGCUUCUUCAGCUAAGGCUUAGGAUGUUUGCAGCUGAGUGAAAUGUGGUGUGCGAAUGAAGAUAACAAGUUGAAUCAAGAGGAUACCUAAUGAGAAUUCUGGGUUGGAUUGUCAAAUGGGGAAAUGAACUUAACUGAAUUUCUUGAUGUCAAGGGGGUAUAUAGUUAGGGGUGUAAACAAACCAAGCCGCUCGUGAAGUAUUCGGAGCUCGGUUCGAAAAAACCUCGUUCAAGUUCGAUUAGAGAAGCUCGAUAAAUAAACAAAUCAAGCUUGAGCUUAGUAGUAUUCGGCUCGUUAACUCGUGAACAUGUGCGUCAAGUGAUUCAGCUUGAAAAAUAUAAAUUAUUAGUAGAUACAACUUAUAUUUAUCCACUAAAAUUAUUAAAUCUCUAAUUAAUUUUAUUUGUCAUAAGAAAAUAAUUAUUAUAUUUAUUAUUUUAAAUAAAAUAAAUUUUUUUGAAAAUAAAAUAAUCAAUAUUUUGAAUAUAAAUAUAAAUUUAGAAAGUUCGUAUAGGCUCGAUUAGGCAGAGGGAGAACGAGUAUGAGGGUAAUUCCAGGUAUUGUUUUUGCAUGAUUGAAGGUCAGAUGUUGAAAGCCCCGAGAAUCACGUCAUGACAGAAGACAACCCGGGG
rnacentral:lncRNA from 1 species